rnacentral:rRNA from 1 species
UACGUAGGGGGCAAGCGUUGUCCGGAUUUAUUGGGCGUAAAGAGCGUGUAGGCGGCCUGAAAGGUCAGCUGUGAAAACUCGAGGCUUAACCUCGAGAUGUCGGCGGAAACCAUCUGGCUAGAGUCCGGAAGAGGAGAGUGGAAUUCCUGGUGUAGCGGUGAAAUGCGCAGAUAUCAGGAAGAACACCCGUGGCGAAGGCGGCUCUCUGGGACGGUACUGGCGCUGAGACGCGAAAGCGUGGGGAGCGAACAGG